AUGGCUGAAAGACGGAAGAGGGUUCUGCAUAGUCACCAUAGUCGUGAUGUCCGAGAAGCGCGGAUUGAGCCCUCGAAGGCAGUUGAGGACGAGAGUUUGGUCAGAGACGGGAGUGCCGACAUCGCUCAGGGCGUCGGAGAGUGCCUUCAGACGGUGACAGUAGGCGGUGAUGGAGAGAUCGCCUUGGACGAGGCCGCGGAAUUCCGCCUCGAGGUAGACCGCGCGGGUCAAUUGAUUGUCCAGGAAAAGAUUGGAGAUGAACGUCCAGGCCUCCUGAGCAGUUUGGUCCUCCGCCAUAAUAAUGUCCAGAAUCUCGUCGGAGAUGGACCCGUAAAGCCACGAGCAGACAAUAUAGUUCUCGCAAGUCCAGUCCGGGGUGCGGUCCGCCUCGGCAGUUACGGCGUUGACAUGGGAGAGCAGAUCGUACUUGCCGAGAAGGACGCGAACCAGCAUCCUCCACUUGGUGAAGUUGGAAGCAUGGGUCUAGGGUGA
rnacentral:rRNA from 1 species